AGUCAAUCUAAACACUGCACAUUUACAGAAUUUGAGGCUGUACACAACACCGUGAAGAUGGCUCUGUUUUCUCCGGUCGGGGGAUGUGACCAGCUCUCUGUUCUGAGACAGCUUGGAGGUGUUGAUGCAGGGCUCGCUCGGAUGCCGGUCUCCAAAUUCAAUUUCUGGGUUCACUCACAUUUACUCCUCAUGAGUGCCGCUAAUUAGAUUACUUGUGCUGUCUUUAAAUGGCAGGCUAAAGCAAUUUACUUAAUUCUAAAUUUGAUUAUUUUUCUUUUUAUUUAGAAGCAAACUGUGAAAAACGUAUCAUGUCUGUGCUUAGGGGGAUCCAGCGUUAAUAAAAACAGGGCAGUUGA